UGCACGUGUGUGAGCACACACACACACACAGAGGCAUAGAGAGAGACAGAGAGACAGAGAAUACUGCAGGCAAUGUGCACAUGUAGAAGCCAUGUUCCAGUAUUAGGCAGUCAUGUGAUUAGGUUCUGCAGAUAAUUUUAUUUGUUUGUUUGCUUGUUUGUUUAUUAUUUUAUGUUUAUGGGUGUUUUUGUCUCAUAGCAUGUCUGUGUACCACAUGUACCUGGUGCCUGGUGGAGGCCUAAAGAGGGAAGGGCAGUGGAUUCCCUGCAACUGCAGUUACAGACGGUUGUGAACUGCCUGAUAUGUUCUGGGACUCGAACUCUAAUCCUCCGGAAGGGCAUCCGGUGCUCCAUCUGUGUAAUCACUGAGCCGUCCCUGCAGGUACUUUACAAGGAGAAAUGUCUGAGAAGAAGAUGGGAACCCUGCCUGCUGGAGCUGACUAGGGCGGAUGCUGGGCCCUUUGCACGGUGCUUUUCCUUUAUCUAAGGUAUGGUGUGACGGUCAGAGCCCAGCAGCUUGGUCCGCGAAGAGAGUCUGAGCCACAUGGGUUAAAGAAGACACUAAAGGUUUGGGGUUUGUCUCAUGGAGGAGCUGACCUGUGACCUUUGCCCACCUUACCUAAGAGAUGGAUGGAUUUUUACCUCCUAACAGAUGGAUAGUUUUUGACCUUGUCUGAACUGUUCUGGGAUGCUGUAGAUGCCCCUGCAGUGGACAUAUUGCUUCUUGCCUUCCAUUUCCUCGGUUACUUAUCUCAGCUCUGCCCAUUGCUGGUCUUCAUGACCCCUGGUCUUGUCCUGCACAGAAAGGAUUAUCCUCUUGUUUUAAGCCUCUGUUGCUGUCAUGUCCAAGUUCUUAUAUCUGCACCUGGUGCCGGAGUGAGGUCUGAUCAGACAAUGGGAUGUGCACGUUAGGAGGGACGUGGGUGUCUGAAGCUCUUGGGUGAUGUGCACGGUUCCCCAUGAGCAGAGAAUUGUGGGAGCCCGCGUGCGCAAACACUUGAUGAGAUCCAGCUCAAGCAGAGGGUGGUGAGUGGUGCCUGCCUAGGCUGAGGCUGCUGUGUUGGCACCCAUGGGCUUUCCUUACCACGGAGCCCAUCACCGGGACGAGGUGUAGAGUACUUGCUUCUGCUUCUAAGACUGGAGUUCUUGGAUGUGCUCAGAUAAAUACUAUCAUUUAUUUGUUUGGGUGGAAGCCAGUCUUUUCUUAGAAGCACAGUGUUUCCAUGGCAUACCAAGGAGGGUCCUAGAAACUGCAAUGCCUAUGUCACAGGAAAGUCACAUGUAGUUUAACUGCCUCUGAAUUCCUCUACAAAAUCAUAUUUUCCCCAGAAUAGCUUUCUUUCCCUUUUUAGUGUGUGUGAACAUGUCUGGCUCUUCCUCACAUGCCUGACUUCAUGUAGAGACACACUUUAAGGGCCAGAACAAACUGAACACACCUGUAGCCCUCACAAAGGUUGGGAAGCCAGCGCUCCCAGGACCAUGGGCUCUGCGCCGAGCCUCCUCCAGUGGAGAUGUGCCUUACACUGUCUGAGUUUACUACUACUUACUCAUUAUCACCUGUUGCUUCUCCAAGGCUAUUUUUCAGUGUGCUUUCUGAAUUCCAGCUCUGGUCACAGCCCUUAGGCCCAGGGACACAGAUGUAGGGGGGUUAGACAAUCUUUCACCUCUCUUUGGGACUUAUUUUCAAACUGUGUUCCCAUGGAACCCUGAGGCCAUUUCCCAAACAGCAGGAAAAAGAAAAGGUUCCUGGAUUGGCUUCUGUGUUUGAAGUGAGCCCAAGAGCCUUUGGGAUCCAUUUCUGAGUUUCAGUAGUGACCAUGAGCAAGAAGCAGGGGAUGAUGGGAAAACAUAGCAGUACCCUAGGUCACUCUUAGUGCACUAGUCACCAAUUGCACUGUAGUUGUGUGGGUUCUAAUCCACUGUUCUCUCAAUCCAUUCUAUCCCUAGAGUCUAGGCACAAUGGUUUCUAGACCCUGGGUGGGAAGCGGCAGGUGUUGCCCACCCAGGAAGGGGCUGGGACAGUCAGGAGACACUCAGGUUCUAUAGCCCCACCCUCACUGCCUCCCAGACCAGAAUCAACACCUGAGCUCUCUGCUAGGGCUGGGAGCAUAGUGCAGCAGGAGGAUACUUGUCUAGCAUGUGCCUGGACAGUCAGGAAACCAGAAACCUCUUGUGAGGCAGAGGGCCCAGCAGUGAACUUCACUUUCUCUGUGAGUUUCUAGUGCUGGUUAGCAGUGUCCAGAAGAUACUGAGUUUCAGUUGUUUUCCUUUGACUAGCUCACAGGGGAGUGAGACGGAGACAGGGUUCAUCCGGAGCAGAUGGUUUGGGUCUCCAAUACUCCUGUAGCCCCUUGCGUGAACCUUUAGCCAUGUGAUGCCACUUUCCCAUGCCUCAGUUUCCCCAUCUAUGAAAGGGGGGGUCUACUGAGCUAUCACUGAGUGGUUAUGGGGCACUGGGGAUAUCGGAAGGCAGGCUCCUGUGCUGUGGAAGUGGCAUGGAAAGUAAUUCCUUAAGUUGUUCAGAGAAUGGACAGUAUAUGGCUCUGUCCCUGGGCCUGAUGACUUACUAGUUCAUAGGGAUCUCACAGGCCCCACCUUCCCUCUGCAAGGGGGCAAAGCUAGAGAAUAGUUUGUGGGUUUUUUUUGUGCCAGUGCUGAAUUCAGGGCCUUGAAUUAGUACCACAGGGACAUGAAAGCCAACUGGAAAUGGAUCGUUCUUCCAUGGCAGCCUAUGGAAACCUAGACUCUUACUCUAUAGUAGGGACCCUGGGUAGAGGCAGCUUCAGAAGUCACGAAGAGCCCUGGCUAUAGGCUGAACAUUCGAAUUUCUUCUUAGAGUUCUAGGGCCCCUGAGGGCCUUGACCCAGAGGAACACAGUUCCAGGAGGGAAGCACGGUCUGUCAGGAGCCUGAGGAUGGAGGCUGGCUGGUAGGAUGGGGCUAGAGGGGAGGGAGGCCACAGGUCCUAUUCCCUUCCUGCCACUUAGGAGAUGUCACUACUGUGUCAGUUCCUCUGUCCAGGGAAGAGAGCUCUGGCUGGGGACAGCAGAGCUACCCCAGGCAUGGUUACUCCAUUUCAGGUCUAUUAAAUCCAUGAGUUCUAUCUCUAUUACCUUAGUCUAUAUCCUAAUGUCUCCGAGACUUGGUGUCUACACUUGUAACUCUGGGCAACAGAGACUACUGGGAGCCAGAGGCUGUUACCCAGUGUGUCUCCUGGUGACCUCAGAAAGGAGUCCCUCUCUUCCGCUGUAGCCUAAGGCCAAGCCAUGCAUUUACCUCCUUUCUCUAACCCCAGCUGAUCCAGCAUCUGAAGGACUAACAGAUGACAGAAAUGGGAGAGCACUCUUCUGCUUACAGGUAACAUCUGAGGUCUAGGUGGGCAGACAUGUUUCAUACUGACCAUGAGUUAAGGGGGUGAAACAUCAGGAGCUGUCUGUGCACGCUUGUGUGUGUGAGUGUGUGUGUGUGUGUGUGUCUAAAUGUGUGUUUUGUGCUUAUGGUUGGAAGGCCACAGUCUUCCUUCACUUGUCCUCAGCCUCCAGUCACACUGGCUUCCUGUGGUUACAGAACUUCACUAAACUCAUGCCAACGGUGGGGCCUUUGCCUUGUCUGUUCUUCCUACAGCUCUUUAUCUGCCUCCGUCCUUUGAACCUGCUUAGUCAUGGAUGUAAAGACUGUCUUCUUAGGGGCUGGAGAGAUGGCUCAGCAGUUAAGAAUUUGUUGCUUUUGCAGAGGACCCUAGUUCAGUUCCCAGAACCCCAUGGUGACUCACAACCAUCUGUAACUCCAGCUUCAGGGUUCUGAUAUUCUCUUCUGACCUUCUUGAGUGCUAGAAAUGCACAUGGUGCUUAUAAAUACAUCCAGGCAACACACACACACACACACACACACACACACACACACACGUGCAUACACAUGUACACACACAUGCACACAAACAUACACAUGCACACACUUGCACACACAUGUGCACACACUUGCACACACAAGCAUACAUACACGUGCAUACACAUGCACACACACAUGCACACACACAUGCACACACUUGCACACACACACAAGCAUACACACAUGAACACAUAUAUAUAUACACAUGAAGUAAUGUGGGCUGUUUAUUUAUGUAUUUGUUUGAUUUUGAGAUAGGGUCUCACUCUAUGGUCACUUUGUAGACCAAGCUGACCUUGAACUCACAGAGGUCUGUCUGCCUUUGCCUCUUGAAUAUUGGGAUGAAAGGCAUGAGCCACUAGUGUGCUAAGGUAAAAUAAAUAAAUAUAAAAAAAAUGUCUCCUUAGGGCUGGGGAGAGGCUCAGUCAGUAAAGUGCUUGAUACACAAGUAUGAGGACCUGCGUCAGAUCUCUAGCACCACAUAAAACAUGGGCAUGGUGAGGCGUGUCUGUAAUUUCAGCACAGAGAUUUGUGUCCAUUGGGCAGUCAGUCUAGGAGUUCCAGGUUCAGUGAGAGACUCUGUCUCAAAAUACAACAUGGAGAGCAACUGGGCAAGACACCCAGUGUCAACCUCUUGCCUUCCCAGCACACACACAUAAAAAGGAAAACACACACACACACACACACACACACACACACACACACACACACACACACACACAGAGACACACGACCCAGAUCUCCUCCUUAGAGGUCUCUUAGUUGUCUCCUCUGUAAUUCUCUGGUCUGUCCUGCAUAUUGUCUGCAUUUGUGGUAUAGUCUUUAUUCUCCUCGUCCUGACUACUUUUAAUUUGCUCUUUGGUUGUCUUCCUCUAAGCCUGUUCAGUUCAGGCUGUAGACAUCUCCCUACAGAUGAACAGGCUGUAGACAUCUCCCUACAGAUGAACAGGCUGUAGACAUCUCCCUACAGAUGAACAGACUGUAGGCAUUUGCCUACAGAUGAACAGGCUGUAGACAUCUGCCUACAGAUGAACAGGCUGUAGACAUCUGCCUACAGAUGAACAGGCUGUAGACAUCUGCCUACAGAUGAACAGGCUGUAGGCAUCUCCCUACAGAUGAACAGACUGUAGGCAUCUCCCUACAGAUGAACAGACUGUAGGCAUCUUCCUACAGAUGAACAGGCUGUAGGCAUCUCCCUACAGAUGAACAGGCUGUAGAUAUCUCCCUACAGAUGAACAGGCUGUAGGCAUCUCCCUACAGAUGAACAGGCUGUAGAUAUCUCCCUACAGAUGCUCUAUCCCAUCACCCCUCCAGGCCUUGGUCCAGGUAGGUCUUCAACCAUUCCAUCUGUACAAGUGAAUGCUCCCUUACAGAAUGAUUGAGCGCAGUUGGACCCAGCAGGUCCAACGCUGCACAUCUCUGAAAAGCUGCUCUAUCAAAGAGGGUGCUGAUACAGUUGCCAAGGCAACAAUUUCUCUUUCCAAGGCUUCUUUAAAAGAGAGAAGCAAAGGCUCAGACAAUGAUGAAAAGGAAAACCGGAGAAGAAUUCAUUUCUGAAGCCACUAAGGGACCCUUCCAUGAGAACUGCCUGUUUCCUCCCUCCCUCCCUCUGCUAGGAGCCACCUUCCUUCUUGUCUUUGGUUAGGGCCCUGGUAUGAACACGGUGAGCUUCAGUAUAGCAAUGCUCUCAGGAACAGUGUGUGCUGCCUGGCUGCCUCGACUGGGACCCAGCAGGCACCAGUGAGAACAGGUUGGUUUGGAGAUCUUUCCAGAAAGUUCCUUUAGCCUUGUGAUGGGCAGCAAGGACAGCACUUUAGUACUUUUGUUUUUGUUUUUGUUUUUGUUUUGUUUUGUUUUGUUUUGUUUUGAGACAGGGUUUAUCUGCAUAGCCCUGGCUGUCCUGGAACUCACUCUGUAGACCAGGCUGGCCUUGAACUCAGAAAUCCGCCUGCCUCUGCCUCCCAAGUGCUGGACUUUAGUACUUUUAUGGCAGGGGGACACAUGUCUCCAGAGAGCUGAAGGAAGGAGGCCGCUCGGUGGCGCAUGCGUGCUGGAGUGAUUGGCCAUGCACCUGGAUGGAACUCUCUCUUCCUUCACCACAGAAAUGGUAGGACACUGAGUGGAGGCAAGAAGAGAUAGCAAAGAUUUGGGGUAGGAAUUUCAGCUGCAAACCUUCCUGAUCCUGUUUGCAGGACUCCAAGCCAUCCCUGUCCCUGCUGGGCUCGUCCAGCAGCUGUGAUCUGGAGCUUACCCACUGGACCAGACAAUCUGGCCAGUGAACCCUAGGGACCCACCCAUCUCUGCCUCUGCUGGGAUUGCAGAGGCAAUCAUCAUGCCCAUCCUUUCAUAUGGGUUCUGGGAAUAAGCUCGCUUCUCAUGAUGUGUCCAUGCGGGUACUGUACUGACCGGGCCGUCUCCUCAGCUCAGGAACUGGCAUUCAUGGUCACCUGUGUCCUGCCAGGAGACUGAGACAUUGACACACGUGGCUUCAUUCCUUCAUAGCACAGCACAGCUGGAAGGGAGCAUCACUGAGCCCACUUCUCAGGACUCCUCCUAGACACCUGAGGGAACCUGCAGUACCGAUGGGGACCACGAACAAACCAAGGCAGGAAGAAUGAUUGGGGCAAGCUGGCCAGGGUCAUCUGAGCUGAGAGGUUUCGACCCCCAGUGCUGCUGAGAACACCGUGGAGAUGACUGGGUAAAACAGCUCUUAUGCAACCAAUGAGCAGCACACCCCAGGACGGACAAGGAGCCAGGAAGAAUGGUGUGAACAGCAAGCUCUCCAUCCCUGGCCAGCUGCAAUUCCCUCUGAUGUGGCCACUGGGAGGGAGGCCCCCGUGGCCUUCCCCACAGUGGAGCCUGCUUACAACCCGCUUCUAUGAGCUCACUCAGCACUACCUUCCCAAGGGGAAUGGCUGAGUUACAGGAACGCUGUACCAGGCCACACUUCUGCAAAGUCCCCUGGACUAAAGCCACUGCGUAAAAGGAAUACUUCAUUCUGGAAUCUGCUUGAAGCUCUUGCUCUCCCCCUGCUCCCCCUUCCGAGAGCCAACAGUUCCAGCACACUGAACAUUGACUGUGAGGAUUGCCAACAUACAGACAGGAUUCUUCUGAUAUCAAGAUGUUUUCAAAUAAGAAGUCAAAAUAGCGAUGAGUCAUGCUUGAGGUCUGUGCACACAUGACCUUUCUCUUUUCCCUUCUGCAAACCUGCAAUUUGUUAGGAAUCUCACAAGAAAUGCCGUUUACAGUCAAAGGAAUGUCUUAUGCCCUCGUCAACCCUGUGACCCAUGCCUUUAUCUUAUGAGAGAUGGUUUCCCAUCCAAGGCAUCCCUAGAACUAUCCUGCACCCUACUUAUUUAAAAAGAAGGAAAAGAGGUGAAAACAUUUCUUAGUGACUUUUUGAGACCUUAGAGCCAUCAAAAUUGAAAACGUGGUUUCUGCUGAGACACUUCAGCGACACCUCAAGUACCCACAGUUGAGAGUGCCUUCUCCUUUCCCAUAAUAUCUUUUUCUACUAACCCCAUGCUCAACAUCGCUUUAAAAAAUAAAAUCCAAGUCCGCCUCACACCAGCUCAUUCUGAAUUCUUUUAUCAGUGAAGCCAAGAAUCUGCGCAGAACUCAGACGGUCUCUGGCCUUGCGCAUGCCCCACCCAUGCUGCUUUCCGACCUCAGAGUCUGAUCUAGAAAGAUGGAUUCUUCCAACACUCACCAUUCUCCCUGUUGGCUCCAGUGCGAGGCCCUUCUCUAAGCUGGUCCCCGGCAACCCAGAGGGAAAGGGUGACUGCCCCUACUUGGCAACUGAGUAAACUAAGGAUGGGGGAGAUGCCAAACAUCAUCUGAAGCCAGGACUCGAGGCUGUUAAUCAGAGGACAAGAACUUCUUCUUCAGGCCCGGGCUGAGGCAUUAGCAGCCAAGGCAGACCCUGAAGAUGGCAUUCUGGAGAUGAGAGUGGGGUCAGGUACAGGCCAUGGAGGAGGUUGAUGUGACCGCAUGUGGCAGAGGCUGUACAGCCCACAGGCAGGGUCACAACUUGCGUUUCCCUGCUUGGAGGAGACAGGAAGAGAGUAUGCAUCCCAGAACAAGGUUCGGAAGGAGCAGAGGCAGGAGCAUGAUGGCCUUGGUGAAAUGUCUUCCUAGCUGGAUGCCUUCUUGCUCUGUUUUUCAUAUACUGAACCAUUUCAGCAAACAUUUAAAAUGCCCAGAGGAAACCAAGGAAACCAAGCUGGUGCAGACGGGGAGGGCCAGGAAGGCUUUAUGUAUCUGGCACCAAGCUGAGCGUACUGAUGUUGUGAAGGAGCAGACUCGCCCAGGCCCAUGGAUGCUGCGGCCCCUCUCUCCUGUCCUCCUCGCCCUCUGAGAUAGAGACGUCCCUCUGUAGAGCUUCCUGACAAAGGUGCCCACAGCUGCUCAGAAGUGACCUUCCUUCACCCCUGCGCGAUGGCCCUGUUAUGUGCUAUAGAUCAAUGGAGGCUGGGCUAGGGUCAGGUGUAGGGGGUCCGAGAGGCUCUGCUGGUCUAACUUUCUGAGGAAGGUGACUACAAUUUCAAUUCCAAGGGUUCUGAAGUAUCUCUGUCUGGAGACCCCACCAGACAUUUUCAGGUUUCACUUUACCUUGUCUUUACUCGAGGAACUUAUUAUAAUCCCCACUUCUCAGAUGAGCAAACUGAGGCUUGGGGAGUUUAAAAAACAGACAAACAGGUUCCUGUGCAAGUGGAGAGACUGGAGCUGACCUGUGUACCUGACUCCAACGGCGAUUCCCCCCCUUCUCCAGGCUCCGUGCCCUGCACACGGGUCAAUCUUUGUGCAUCCCCUCCAGGGAUAGAAAACUGAGUCCCAGAGAGGUCAGGUGAUCGCAAAGACAGAGCUGGCAGGCAUACAGAAGCCACGCCCAUGGCCUGGCUAAGGUUGGGGUGUCUCAGUUGGGACCCCCAUGUAGAGGUUCUGCAGUCCCCGGCUUUUAAGCCUCCACAACUCUGAGAAGUUGGCCUUGGUGCUUAAAGCAUGGCUCUCAUGUGACCUUACACUCCCUGGCCAUGUGAUCAGACAGGUCACCCAUCUCCUCAUGGUCCAGUCUCCUCAUCACUGACCACCUUAUCGUCUAAGGCCACCAUGAGAAUUAAAUGGUACAAUCAACACAAAGUACAGAGCACAAAAUGUGUGCCCAGUAAAUACCAGCCAUAAUUUCUCCUGUCCUUAUCCUUUGGCUACGCUGGGAGGCAGGGAUCAUGUUGGCUUCCACUUCCAAGAGAAACCAACCAUAAAGAUGACUUCCCCCACUGUCCCACAGCUGGCUGAUGCACCUUUAGGACGUGUUCCUCACCACAGCUGCAUGUGCUGCCGGCACUGGGUGGCCCUUAAGAUCGACAUAGAUACAUUCCAGGGCCACUCUGAAGUUGAAGAAACUGAAUGUGGCUGAGGGUAAAGCGGUUAGAUGUUAUGGAGGGAGUACAGCUCAUCGACGCGUAUUGGCCUUGUAUUUCCUGCUCUGAGGGAGACAGAGAGGAUGUGCAUCUUAGCCUGAGCACUCUAGACACUGGAGGAGAGAGCUAGACACACAUGGCCCUGGCCCACAGGCUGACUAGCCAAGCCACAUGGACAAAUAAACCUGUCCCUCUGGGGCAAGACAGGUCUUAGGCAGCCACUGCUGCUGCUGCUGCUUCCAGUUGAAUAUCAGCCAACUGCUCAUCCCCAGGCCAGGCCUUCUGGAACAGCAGUUUUUAAGCCCUUCUUGGAAAUAUCAUCUCAUUCCUCUGAGAAGCAGAGGCUGCUUGCUCCACCCCAUCCCCCGCACCGACUGCCCAGAAAGCCAGCGGAGAAGUUAGGAAAUCAACCCCAAGCUAUUCCAUUCGGUGACCGAGAUUUAUUUCUUGUGGCAACUGAGAUUUAUUUCUUGUUUGCAUAACCGAAAGUUGAAAAUGCCAAGAAUUUACAGGCAGCCUGGGGAGGCCAGGGCAGCUGGGAGCCCCCGUCAGUCUGGGAGGGUCUGGGGGAGGGGCAGGACCCCACACUGGACUCCUGCUGAAUGCCUUCCUAACCCUUGGCCUGCAGGCCAGGCCACUGGGCUGAGGGGCCUAGCUGUUCUGUUUGCUGCCAGGGAUCUGCACAUCAGUGAAGCCUGACUCCUUCCCUGUGUGGCUGUGGACAGAAGGACAGACGGACCCCAGCUUAGCAGCCUGGCUCAGAGUGUGCACUGGUCUUGGAGAUAGAGGCAGAAGAGGUGGUUUAAGGAUUUGGGGGGAGGCACACCUGAAGGAGAUAAGAAGAGUCAGAGAAGAGGAGAGAGAGAGGCACAAGGAGACAGACAGACAGACAGACAGAAGCAGAGAGAGAAACAGAGAAAGGUCAGAGAGACAAAUAGAAACAAAUCUAAAAAGAGAGAUAGAUACAAAGAGAGACAGAGAAAGACAUAUAGACAGAAGCAAAGAGAGAAUCAGGGAGACAAAGUAUGGGACAGUGGGCAGGCCUCGGAACCAUAAAGCAGCACUUACAGAGAACAGGUAAGUAGCGCCGAUGUGUGGUGUCUACUUCCCCACACCCCCUGAGCCCUAAGCCUUGGGAAGGACAUAGGCUAGGGCCCAGCACUGGGACCUGGACUGGGGGCUUCUCAUUCAUAGACAUGUGGGGACAGGAGAAGUCAUAGGUGGCACUCUAUGGCUGAGAGGCCUGAGACCAGGAGACACUGCCUGCAAUGAGUAACUGGCAACCCCAGUAAUGAGAAGGAGGUCUAUGGAAUAGCUGCUGGGGGAAGGCAUUCACUGGCCAGGCCCAAGGUUCUGGGUGGCUAGUUCCCUUUCUUGUUCUGUCUCACUGUCCCAACUAAAGGUUCCUGAUCUCCCUGGGAGGUCUCUGGCUAACCACUGCUGGGCCACACUGCUCAGCAGGAACCCGUUUCACUAGCUGUCUGCGCCUGCCCCCUCAUCUCUCUUGGCCACAGUAGUUGACCUGGGGGGGCAUGGAGUGGAGGACACUGAUGUGUAGCCCACAAUAGGCGUGAGUCACUGAACAGCUUUCUAGGAGAGAGC